UGUUCAGUUCUUGAAACCUUC
rnacentral:piRNA from 1 species